rnacentral:rRNA from 1 species
AUACGUAUGGGGCAAGCGUUAUCCGGAUUCAUUGGGCGUAAAGCGCGUGUAGGCGGCUUGUUAAGUCAGAUGUGAAAACCGGGGGCUUAACCCGCGGCGUGCAUCUGAAACUGGCAGGCUUGAGUCUGGUAGAGGAAAGUGGAAUUCCUAGUGUAGCGGUGAAAUGCGCAGAUAUUAGGAGGAACACCAGUGGCGAAGGCGGCUUUCUGGGCCGCGACUGACGCUGAGACGCGAAAGCUAGGGGAGCAAACAGGAUUAGAUACCCCAGUAGUCC